AUCGCGCCAACCCUGCCGCGCCUACAGCUCCCGGCGUGCAUCGCGCCAACCCUGCCGCGCCUACAGCUCCCGGCGUGCAUCGCGCUAACUCCGCCGCGCCUACAGCUCCCGGCGUGCAUCGCGCUAACCCCGCCGGCAGGGGUUGGUCGCCGUCUGGCGGAGCGGAGGGGAAUUGCUGGGCCCCGGGGAGAACGGGCGGCGGAACGGUGCGGGCAGGGCCGCAGCCGCGUCCCCGGGGGCUCGGGAUCGGCCCCUGCCCAUCGACGGGACCGACAGCAGGGAAACGCCCACAUACAACCGCCGCUCUCCUGUGCUCCAGCCACCUGCCAAUGCCCCUGGAACAGCAAACCAGGUCCCAUGGGUAGGAUUUUGGGGCAUAGAUUGUCCCACAGUCACUCGGGGUAAUGAAUUUGAAGUCCUGUUUUCCCAGCGAUCCCGCUAAUUCCCAAGCAGAACCGGUGCCUGGAGGCGGAGGCACUGGCAGCAGAUCCUCGGGAUCAUGGGUGCUUCUCUGCCGCUCUCGGGUGUCCUGCUUGGACAGUGUCUCCUCGGCCCAGGGAGCAUCCCUAACUGUCCUGGAGGCUCUCCCACCUGAGAUGGAAAAGCACGUGGAAAUUCCUCUGGCAUGAGGUGAUCUGGGAUCCUCCCUUCCCUCUGCCCCAGGCCAGGGGAUGAGGAAACGCACAUGGGAAAAAUCCGUGUGGCAGAUGGAAAACAGAAAAACCGGGAGGGAUUUUUAUUGGCAAACAAAGGAAGAUAAAAAUAAUCUGUGUGAGGCAGAAGAGUCACCUGGGGCGGGAAGACUGCCCUGGGGAGCAGGGUGGGAGCGGGACAGGCUUGGAAUGCCGUGGAGGGUGCUCGGAAGGAUGCGAGGAGCGAUACUGACAGCUGCUUCCUGCGCUGAGGGGAGGUGACCGACUGCCAUGCUCUGGGUCAAAUGCUUUUCCACGGAAUAUUCAUGGACAAAGUGGCUUUGCUUUCUCUCUCUCUGUCACAAGAUGCAGGAGGAGGUGCCAGGGUGGGACCCCGGAAUUUCAGGUCAGUCCCUUCCAUCCAGGGAGGAGCCGAUCAGCCCCACCAAGAGUGAGACCAGCCACACUCACAGCCCUUCAGACACUGCCUUUGCUCUCCUGGGCAGAAAAUUCCAUGUUUUUCGGGGAGCUCGGUCAGGAAAGAGAGUCCUGGAGUCCUCUCCCAAGGGAAGCAAAACAAGACACCAGGACAAAGCCACUUGAGAGCCACCUGCCUUCUCCAAGCCAGGUUUCACUUGGGUAAACUCCCUUUUCUGCCUCCUGUCCGUGUCCCUCUGGGCUGCCCUCUCCUCCUCCAGUGCCCUCCUGGUGAAGGUGUCACCCCUUGGGAUGUUCAGGAGAUCCCCUCCCAUCCUAUCAGACAAAUUUGCUUCCUGUGAGAUCCACAAAGCCUCUGCAGUUCCUGGGAGGGUUUGGACAGGGUGGUGUCAUGACAGAUGUCACAAGAGCAGUGUUCCCCCCAGCAGAGCUGGAGAAGGUGACAAUUCCUGACAUGGUUCUGGAGCUGGGGAGGGCACAGCCCUGAUCCAGGCUUCCCUCCCGCACCACUUCAGGGUCUGCCUCAGCCAACAGUGUGUUAACAGCACCCAGAUUAGAAAACAAACCUGGGAUGGUGAAUUCCAGAGUAAAUACAAAAAUGAGCCCACUGGUUUGCUGCCUGAAUCAUCUCCAAUGGAUGAAGAGGAAGCAGUGAUGAUGGAAGCAGGACCAGGAAUGCCAGUGGCCUCACUACCCAGUUUCACUGACUCCUCCUGUGGUGUCAUCAUCAAUUUUUCAGGAAAAGUUUCAGAGUUCCACGUGCCAAACAAAACACUGGGCAGGAAGGCACAAAUUGCAGCCGUGCUUGUGCAUUUGAGCCUCCCCUCAUUGAUUUAUGGCUUUUGAUGAAGUGAUUACAGAUGAAAGAAAAUAUUCCAGGGAA